UUUGCCAAAACCCCUCAGAUCUUUAAAAAGCGGCUCCAGUCGAGCAAGUUAUAGUAACAUGGGCUUGCUCCGCUUCCCUUCUGCACACAAGCAACCAAACCACGCCACCGAUCCCCGAAUCGCUCCGAAAGGGAGGGAGAAGCAUCGGCGAGAAUUCUCGGGAUAAAGGGAGAGCUGCGCUGCCCGCACGGCUCCGGGGCGAGCUCGGGGUUGGUCUCUGGGGAGGAGCGGCCCCGGCUUUCCCCGGGCGGGGCGGGGACAGCGCGGGCACCCCCGCGCUCCGUGCGGGGCCGGGGGAGGCGCUGCCCGCGGAGCCUCGGCGGGAGCGCGGCCCCGCACCCGCACCCGGACAGACGGAAUCCCGGGCAGGACAGACCGCACCCGCACCUGGGCAGGAGCUCAGCCCCGCACCCGCACCUGAGCGGGCAGGACAGACAGACCGCAUCCCUGGCAGGACAGACCGCAUCCUCACCUGGGCGGGCAGGAGGCUCCGCAUCCGCACCCGGGCAGCGCCGGCAGCCGCCCUGCCCCAUCCCGCCAGCAUGAGCGGCAGCACCGGGGGAGCCGCGCCGGGCACCGCGGGGCUCUGCCCCGGCCACGGAUGAGGUCUCUCCUAUGGACAUUGAACUCCCAGCUGCCUGAGCCUGCUGCCUGUGAUGGAAGAGCUGGAUGUGAAUGUGAGUUCCAGUGAGGGCUUCGGCAUCGCGGAGAAGAUCCUGCUGCUCUCCUUCGUCUCCGCCGUCAUCCUCAUGGCCAUCCUGGGCAACCUGCUGGUCAUGGUGGCCGUGUGCCGGGACAGGCAGCUCCGGAAAAUCAAGACCAACUAUUUCAUCGUGUCCCUGGCCUUUGCUGACCUGCUGGUGUCGGUGCUGGUGAUGCCCUUUGGAGCCAUGGAGCUGGUCCAGGACAACUGGAUCUAUGGGGAGAUGUUCUGCCUGGUGAGGACCUCGCUGGACGUGCUGCUGACCACAGCGUCCAUCCUGCACCUCUGCUGCAUCUCCCUGGACAGGUACUAUGCCAUCUGCUGCCAGCCCCUGGUGUACAGGAACAAGAUGACCCCGCUGCGCAUCGCGCUGAUGCUGGGGGGCUGCUGGGUGAUCCCCACCUUCAUCUCCUUCCUCCCCAUCAUGCAGGGCUGGAACAGCAUAGGCAUCAUUGAUCUGAUCCAGCAAAGGCAGUUCAACAAGGCCUCCAACUCCACCUACUGCAUCUUCAUGGUGAACAAGCCGUACGCCAUCACCUGCUCCGUGGUGGCCUUCUACAUCCCCUUCCUGCUGAUGGUGCUGGCCUACCACCGCAUCUACGUGACGGCGCGGGCGCACGCGCGGCAGAUCCGCCUGCUGCAGCGCGCGGGGAACCCGGCCGAGCCCCGCCAGGGCCCCCAGGAGCCACGGCAGAGCCUUCAGGAGACACAGCAACACCUCCAGGAGACACAUCAGGGCCUUCAGGAACCACGGCAGGGCCAACACCCCCAGGAGCCACAUCAGGGCCCUCAGGAGCCACGGCUGGACCCUCAGGAACCAUGGCGGGGCCUUCACGAGCCACAGCAACACCCCCAGGAGCCACAUCAGGGCUUGCAGGAGCCACGGCAGCACCCCCCUGACCAGCACAGCAGCCACCGCAUGAAAACAGAGACCAAAGCUGCCAAGACCCUGUGCAUCAUCAUGGGCUGCUUCUGCCUCUGCUGGGCUCCCUUCUUUGUCACCAAUAUCGUGGAUCCCUUCAUUAACUACACGGUGCCCGGCAAGCUGUGGACGGCCUUCCUGUGGCUGGGCUACAUCAACUCGGGCUUGAACCCUUUCCUCUACGCCUUCCUCAACAAGGCUUUCAGACGUGCCUUCCUCAUCAUCCUCUGCUGCGGCGACGAGCGCUACCGAAGGCCUUCCAUCCUGGGCCAGACCGUGCCCUGCUCCACCACCACCAUCAACGGCUCCACGCACGUGCUGAGGGUAAACAGCUGGAAGUGUUGAACUCACUGCCAGAGGCUUCAGGCAGACACUUUGUGCCACACGACAUCCUGGGACACCUCAAUGACUCCUCUUUAGCUUAAUGAACCUCUAACAAUCAGCACCACCUGCUCUUGCUGCUCUUGCUCCACUCUGGGACGGCCGCAGAACACGGAGGAAGGUACAAGGUGUUACACAACGGGCACCACCAGGAACAAGAGAAGCUUCCCAUCCACCCCGACCCCGAAUCCCAAGAGUCCUGUUUCUAGUCCUGGCCCAGAAGAGGAGGAACAGAGGCAUUUUAGGAUAUCCCAAGGAUUCACAGACAGCUGCACUUGAAAACCCAUCCAUCUGCAUUGUCCUGGUGCUUCCUGCAGUGAAUUCCCAGGAAUGUCCAGCUGUGGGAGCUGGGUGGGAGCACGGGGAUGGUCAGGACUGCUGUCCCUGUCCCUGUCCCUGCAGGAGCAGCUGGAGCUGUGCCAGAGCCCUGCUCCAGGAGUGAGGCAUUCCUGGCAAAGCCAGGGCCAAAACAGCUCCAAACCAGCCCGUGCAGGGACUCUGCUGCUCCUUUCCUCUCCUGCUGCCCCCUGCCCAGCCCACCCCACCCUGCAGGCCACAGCUGUGGGGUGGCACCGAGCUGCCCCAUCCCUGCUGGCUCUGCCUGGGCACUGCCAGGGCAGGAGCAGCCCCGCGUUUCUCCAGGAGAACAAGAGGAAAUGUUUGCUGCCCUUUGGUUCUGCUGCUCCCCGAGCCUGCAGAGCUCUGCCCUGCCCUGCCCUGGUGGGGUUUCCUGGCCAGGGAGGAGCCCGGGAGCUGAGUGGGAGCAGCCCAGCCCAGAGCCGUGGCCCUGCUCUGCCAUUCCCAUUCCCAGGGGAUGGGACGUGUCCUGGAGCCCAGAGCUGUCCCCAUCCCUCCCUGAGCAAACUUUGGGCGUUCUGAGGCAGCAGAAGCUUGGCCAGAGCCAAUGGAUCACUAAGUGCCAUCUUGGAAACAAACCACCUAAACCCUUUUCUAGCUACACUUGGAGGAGAGACUUCUACUUACCUUUGCCACCUUUAUUUUUCUAUCUGUUGCUGGUCUCUUCCAGUCGAGGCAAGGAGUUUUCCAGACUUUCCAGUCUCACCUUUGCCAAGAUCUCAGUCCUCAGCUGCUUCCUGCAUGUUGGUGUUGCCACGUUCCUCGUGGGCUGCUUCCCCCUUUGCAUGGAAAGGGUGGGCAAGGCUCUGAACUCCACAAAUUUGGGAAAAGGAUUUUCAUGCAGGAUCAAGAGCACGAGCCUCGACCCUUUUUAGGUGAAGAUCUACCCCAAGAUGCCACCCUGAGCCUAGAAAAUACAAUGGUACUUUGUCAUAUCGUGGAACCAUGUACAGAUAUUUUUAAUGUACAAAGAAAAGCUGGCAUUAUUUAUUAUUUUUUAUCAGGAACAUGUGGUUUUUUCAUUAAAAGCUUCUAGACCAAGGAGCUUAACAUGUUAUGUAUUAUUAUUUAGUAAUAUUUCUGUUGCUAUGUGACAGGUAUUUACUGCAAACAGACAAAUCCUGCUCAGAACAAAAAUGUUGCUCAGUAGGAGAAAUGUUGUGCAUGAGAAGAACAAGUGGCUUCCUGGCCAUGGUGUCUGACUUCUUUAAAUAUUUCUUCCACAGCAAAGUCACUGGUAAAGCUUCACACCCUUUUUCUGUAGGAUUCAGAAGGACACUGGGCAGAAACAGCCCCAGCUAGAAUGCUGAGGUAGAAAAUUGCUGGCUGAUGAAAAGACACAAAUUAUUGGUGUUUGUGGUGGAAGGUGCUCCUGGUUCAUCUCUGGGACCUGGUUGGCAAUGACCUGUUUUUACAGGGUUUUAUUUCCAAAAAAAACUUAAUUUAAUUUUACUCUUGACACCAGAACUGUGGAGAGAAAAAAGCUAUUAUUGAAAAUUUGGAAAAAAAACAUCCAGAGCUGCUUCAGUGCUGUGAUCUGUGGAAGUGCCCACAGGGGUUUGUUGGGCUUUGGGCACAUGAGGCUGCAGAACAGCUUGGCUUGGUUUCCCCUCAAGUGUCCAAUUUCUCAAAGAAAUCCUGAAAAAAAGCUUUUCUCUGUCCCCAUUGAAGGGCAUCAAAUCUUGGUGUGAAAUUUCCUGGAGUGAGAUGGAACCAGCAGCACAGGGAGGGGUUCUUUGGUUCUGCUUUGUCCUUCAGGCAUUGUUUUCUCCUUUGUUUUAUGUGCAUUAGGGAAAGAUCUCUUUUUAAUUUAAAACAAACUCCCAGUUUCCCCAGGGACAACAUUCCCAAGGCUCUGUCAAUGGGAGCAGUGGCUCACCAGCCAAAAUGGUCAAAGGCUCUCACUGGGGAAAGGCUCCUCCAUUCCAAGUGGAUGAAAUUCCAAACACCAGGAAUUCCAUCCUCACCAGCCAAAAUGGUCAAAGGCUCUCACUGGGGAAAGGCUCCCCCCUUCCAAGUGGAUGAAAUUCCAACCACCAAAUGUCCCUGUCCUGGAUGGACACCAGGACACCUCUGAUCCCUCCCUGCUGCUCACUCAGCCAACAAUCCCAGCACAGCUUCUGUGACCCAGCAGUGGAGAAUUCCCUGCACAAGGAGGGGUCUCAUGGAGAGCCCCACUCUGCAUCCCCUGGCUGCUCCUGUGGCCUCCCCGUUCAGCUUUGCCCAUCGUGGCUGGUGGUGCCGGUCCUUGCCUGUGCUCAGUGUCUGUGCUGCAGUGCCUGUUCCUACAAAUAAAAACUCCUCUCUGGAUGUGGCAGUGAAUUCCAGUUGGGCUCAUUUCUGGUGCUGCUGGCACUCCAGGCUGGGAGCAGGAGCCUCCUCCCAGCUGCCCCAAAGGAGGCUCCAGGGGCUGGAGCACGGAGGGGAAUCUGCAGGGGCAGGCUCAGGGUGGGCACAGCAGGAAUUUCCCCAUGGAAAGGGGGCUCAGGGCAGGCUCAGGGUGGGCACAGCAGGAAUUUCCCCAUGGAAAGGGGGCUCAGGGCAGGCUCAGGGUGGGCACAGCAGGAAUUUCCCCAUGGAAAGGGGGCUCAGGCACUGGAACUGCCCAGGGAGCUGUGCAGAGCCACAAGGGCCCCCCUGAGCCUCCUUUGCUCCAGGCUGAGCCCCUUCCCAGCUCCCUCAGCCUCUCCUGGAGCUCCAGCCCCUUCCCAGCUCCAUCUCCUUUCCUGGACACGCUCCAGCCCCUGCAGGUCCCUCCUGCCCAAGGACCCAGAACUGGACACCCCCUCAGCAGGGCCAGCACAGGGGACAGGCCCUGCCCUGCUCCUGACUGUCCCCCUGCUCACAGGAAUUUGUUCAUUCCCAAUUGGGAUUUAUUUGCAGUCCAGGAGCCCCCACCUUGUCCUGGCCCCUUACCUGGAGGAUUCCCAGGUCCCUGUGGAGCUGCUGAUGGGAUCAGAGCCAUCCAAAGGGAUUCAUGUGAGAAAUGGAAGCCAAGGGUCCCCUGGAUGUGGAUCCCCUGCUGCAGAGACACUUUUUUGGCAAACUCUGCUCCUCCAGGGGUGUCUGUUCCACCAAAGGACACUUCAGGGAGGAGGAACAUUGGGAAUGUCACUGAAACCUGCAGAGCUGACAGGUAAACAAUGCUCACCUUGCCUCUGAUUCAAAAUGGCUCUGAUUUUACCUCAUCUGCUCCUCCUGUCCCCUGCUGGCUCCAGAGCUCUGGGAACAAUCAGCAAUGCUGCAUUAGCUACAUAAAUGCUGCUUUUGCAUUUCCAAAUACUCUCAGUUUAGGGACUGCUGCAGGUAUCUCCAGCCUAAAGCUCACCUCACCCAAGAUCGUGGCUUUAGGGUGGAGUUCACUCCCAGCUGGCCCUGCUCAGCAAGAGGAGGGAGACUCUGAAGGUAUUUAAGGCACUUCUUUGUGUCAGCCUGACUUAAUAACGUGCCCAGAACCAACCAAUGGGGCCCAGAUCGUGUCCAGCUCGUUCCCAGCACAGAUGAAAAGCAGGAGCAGCUCCAGCCAGGAGCUGCUUUGGGAGCAGGCAGCCCACACAGGCACUGAGUCAUUCCCACCCAGCUCACAGUGCUGAAGGCAAGGAGAGCAUUUCCAUUCUGUACCUGGCAGCUGGGAGCCCUUCCCCAGUUCAGGAUCCCCUUUUCCUCCACAUUUGAGCCCCUGAGCCACCUCUGAGCACUCCCAGGCCAAAAGGCAAGAAAUCUGCAGGGGAAUAAUAACACAGACUCAAUAAAAAGAUACCAAAGCUUUUAGUUCUUCCAGUUUUUGUAUAAAUCUUCCUGAACAAAGCCCCAGUUUAUCUCCUGCCAACCCCCAGGGAGUGCUGAGGAGCUGAAGGGAGCUCUCCAGGGGAUGGGCCCUGGUUUUGGCUGCCCUGUUGUCACAUGCAGGGCACACAGGGCCAAGGUGUCCCUGUCCCACCUGACAAAAGGUGAAGUUGGAAUUGCUUAACUGGGAGCUAAAUGUGAAAAUCCUGGGCAAGGGGAUCCUCACACCCUGAGCAGCCUGGAGAGAGAGCAGGGGCAUCAUUCCUGUCUGCAUCAACCCCUUUCAGCUUCUCAAACAAAAACACUUCCAAAAGCCUUCCCUUUCUGAAACCCAAGCACUGGUUCUGCUCCUCAAGGAGAGGGAAAAGCAGCCCCAGCACAGUGAGCAGGAGGCUGUGCCCCUGUGCUGGGCCCAAACACACCCUGGCCUUUCCCUGUUUACCUUCUGUACUAUUUGGAUGACAUUUCCAGGCCCCUGAGCCUCUCCCAGCUGGGAUCUCUGCAUCCUUUUCCAGGAGGAGCUGUGGGAAAAGCAGCACCAGAGUCAGCUCAGGCUCAGUCCCAGCCAGUGGAACCUCCAGCAGCAGCUGGAUGGACCUGGGCUGCUCAGUGCUCCCCAGGGACUGCAAGAGGAGCCCCCUGUGACUGUAAGAGCCCUUCUGACUCUGCUCCUGCACACAGGGACAGCAACCCCACCAAGAUUUCACCUCCCAGAGUGGCUGAGUCAGCUCUGACCCAGGGAAGAAAUUCCUGCUCUGUUUUCCCCAAAGCCACAUCCAGGGGAAGCAGGGCACACAGGUGGUGCCCUCACAUUUCCUCCAUCAAUUCCUUACCUUUGCAGCUCAGUGCUGGCCAGGCUGCCUUUGGAGCUCCCUCUGGGACCCAGGAGCAAACAGGCCUGGAGCCCAGCCCGUCCCCACAGAGCUGCAAUCGGUGCUGCAGGAGCAGCAGCACCACUGUGCCCUCACCUGAGGGACAGCAGCUGCUCCUCCAGUCAUGCACCAGGCACAGGAGGGAGGAGAAGCCUGGCACACAAACAUCUGAGCUGGGCAGAGCCAGGGAAACCUUCCCUGCUGUGGUGAUUGAAUAAAAGUGCCCAAAACAGCCAGGAAAUGGAGAGAGGAAGAAGCUCAGAGCCAAAAGAUCAAACCCCCAGAAGAUCCCAGCUCCUCCCUCCCCACAGCCCUCAGGAGAUGGACACAGGGGAUUCAGGCACUGGUGUAAAACGGGUGUCACAUUUCAGAGGGCAAAAUCACUGCAAGGUUCAAUUACUUCCAGAGAUACUGAAU